rnacentral:rRNA from 1 species
CAGUCGCCGCGGUAAUACAGAGUGUGCGAGCGUUAAUCGGAUUUACUGGGCGUAAAGCGUGCGUAGGCGGCUUCUUAAGUCGGAUGUGAAAUCCCUGAGCUUAACUUAGGAAUUGCAUUCGAUACUGGGAAGCUAGAGUAUGGGAGAGGAUGGUAGAAUUCCAGGUGUAGCGGUGAAAUGCGUAGAGAUCUGGAGGAAUACCGAUGGCGAAGGCAGCCAUCUGGCCUAAUACUGACGCUGAGGUACGAAAGCAUGGGGAGCAAACAGGAUUAGAUACCCCAGUAGUCCCUGUCUCUUAUAC